rnacentral:rRNA from 1 species
CCUACGGGAGACAGCAGUGGGGAAUAUUGCACAAUGGGGGAAACCCUGAUGCAGCGACGCCGCGUGAGUGAAGAAGUAUUUCGGUAUGUAAAGCUCUAUCAGCAGGAACGAGACAAGACGGUACCUGACUAAGAAGCCCCGGCUAACUACGUGCCAGCAGCCGCGGUAAUACGUAGGGGGCAAGCGUUAUCCGGAAUCACGGGGUGUAAAGGGAGCGUAGACGGCUGAGCAAGCCUGAAGUGAAAGGCGGGGGCCCAACCCCCGGACUGCUGUUGAAACUGUACGGCUGGAGUGCAGGAGAGGUAAGUGGAAUGCGUAGUGUAGCGGUGAAAUGCGUAGAUAUUAGGAGGAACACCAGUUGCGAAGGCAGCUUACUGGACUUUAACUGACGUUGAGGCUCGAAAGCGUGGGGAGCGAACAGGAUUAGAUACCCGUGUAGUC